UCUUCGUCUUCAUCCAUGGAGAAGCUGAAGUCGGCGAUCGGAAUCGCCUACGGAAGGGACCACGCUAAGCUCUCUCUCUCUCCUUCCUCUACUUGGCGUCUUCUCUCUACAAGCUCCGUCUGUCCCUUCGUCGCCACUUCUACCUCUACGGCGUAUUUUGCAAGCACUGAUAGGAGCAUAUCAGGUUGAUCGACUUGACUCGACUUCUUCAGUGACCAUCACGAUAGGAGCAUAUCAGUGACCAUCACGAUAGGAGCAUAUCAUGUUGAUCGACUCCACUCAACUUGACUUCUUCAGUGACCAUCAUGAUAGGAACAUAUCAUGUUGAUCGACUCGACUUCAGGGACCAUCACGUGCAUCAAGACAGGGUAACUAUUCUUCUGCUCCGAGUCUGUAAGAUCAUGUCACCUCCACAAACAUCCCGUACUACUACCAAUGCACUUGUUUAGAAUUUUUUAAAAUUACUUAUUUGUCCUCGUUAUGAUAUCAAAU